GUCACUCUGGAUAAGAGCGUCUGGUAAAUUACUUAAAUGUAAAUCGUAAAGAAAGUUUUAUUUCGAUCCCUGUCUGUUCUCCCAGUACUUCCUGUUUCUUUCGUGGGUUAGUUGAAUUCCCGUCGUUGAUCAGCAUGGUUAACGGGUUGAUGGUUGGUUACCACAGCUACAACGGUCCUUUCGUAACUUCCAAAGGUCAAGUUAAAGGCAGGUCUUUAGGAGACAGGAGACAUGUGAACAGGAGGUAGAAUAAAGGGAGAGAACUAAACUAGAGCCCUCUGUGACCCGCCUCAGUCACCAACUUCAGUUGAACACAUAAAACAUUAGAAACGGGGAGAUGAAAAGAAUGGAGCACAUCAAAGAACAAGCGAGGCGAAAAGAUGAAAAAGAAGACAGAAUGGGUUGUUGGCCUGGAUGGAUGGAGGAAUGAAUGGAUGAUGGUGUGGGGGUGUCGGAGAGAGAGAACAGCAGUGGAGAACAGAGUGUCAUUGUACUUGAACACCAGGCACUGGGAGACACACACACACACACACACACAAACACGGCUACACACACUGUCACACACGCUUACACAGACACACUGACAGACACACAAGCGUAUGCUUCUACCCACUGCCACACAGACUUGCACUAGCUGGCAUCUCAGAGGGCAGCCCUCUCUCCAGUCCUGUCCUGUCCUGGGUGUUGAAGCUAUCUGGAUGUUGAAGCUCUUCGCCCCUCUGCAGAAGCCAACCUGACCUCUCAGGUCCUCGUUCGUACCUGUGGACUGAGCUGAACCUUCCAAGACCUCUGUCCCUGCCUCCCCCUGAACCAGCCAACCGGUUACCUACAUCCACCUCUGACCUAUACAACCACAGCUCCACAGGACUGCUGAAGAACACGCUGCUUCUCCAACGACUGCUUGGAAGAGGAGAGGAGAUCCAUCACACUCCAUCUGAGGACGUUUGUUCUCGUCUGUCCCCAGUUGGUCUCCGCAUCAACCAGAGAGAAGGAGAGGGUCAAGAAGAAGAGGAGGAGGAAGACAUCUGUUUUUCAAGAUUUCGGGGGUGCAUAGACUUUCCACGGCUUGGGACUAUUUUAGUGAGACAAAGAGAAAGGACUUUAACAUCCCAGUAACAACCAACGUGGUACAAAUACUUACGAAAAUCCAGCCAAAUACCGGUAGACAUCGUCAACCGUCACCACAACCGUUACUACUGCCACAACAAC
rnacentral:lncRNA from 1 species